GACGAACGCUGGCGGCGUGCUUAACACAUGCAAGUCGAACGAUGAAGCCGGAGCUUGCUCCGGUAGAUUAGUGGCGGACGGGUGAGUAACACGUGAGCAAUCUGCCCUUGGCUCUGGGAUAACUGCGGGAACCUGUAGCUAAUACCGGAUACGACACCUUGGGGCAUCCCAGGGUGUGGAAAGAAUUUCGGUCAAGGAUGAGCUCGCGGCCUAUCAGCUAGUUGGUGAGGUAAUGGCUCACCAAGGCGACGACGGGUAGCCGGCCUGAGAGGGUGACCGGCCACACUGGAACUGAGACACGGUCCAGACUCCUACGGGAGGCAGCAGUGGGGAAUAUUGCACAAUGGGCGAAAGCCUGAUGCAGCAACGCCGCGUGAGGGAUGAAGGCCUUCGGGUUGUAAACCUCUUUUAGCAGGGAAGAAGCGAAAGUGACGGUACCUGCAGAAAAAGCACCGGCUAACUACGUACCAGCCGCCGCCGUAA
rnacentral:rRNA from 1 species